GGUGAGGUGGGUGAGUGGCCGAUACCAGUAGUUUGCUAAACUGCCGAACGGGUCAAACUGUUCCGCGGGUUCGAAUCCCGCCCUCACCG